GACGAACGCUGGCGGCGUGCCUAAUACAUGCAAGUAGGACGCAGUUGCGAACGGGUGAGUAACGCGUAGGUAACUACCUAUUAGAGGGGGAUAACUAUUGGAAACGAUAGCUAAUACCGCAUACUCGUAGAUGGACCUGCGUUGUAUUAGCUAGUAGGUAGGGUAAUGGCCUACCUAGGCAACGAUACAUAGCCGACCUGAGGGGGGGAUCGGCCACACCUGGGCCGAGAACCGGCCCAGAACCCUUCGGGGAGCAGCAGGUGGGAAUCUUCGGGCAUGGGGCGAAACUCUGCCCGGCAACGGCGCGUGAGUUAAGGAGGUUUUCGGAUCGUAAAGCUCUGUUGUUAAGGAAGCGGUACCUAACCAGAAAGCCACGGCUAACUACGUGCCAGCAGCCGCGGUAAUAC
rnacentral:rRNA from 1 species